CCCUUAUAUACACAAUAAUAUGCACAAAGUGAAGUCUUUUCCUCUUUAGACUGGGUGUAUGAAUUUGUGCAAUUUUAGAAACUAUUCAUGAAAUUAAUUAAGGAAUAUUACUUAAGUAUCAAAGUACUGAUUGGAACAAAGCGUCAUGUUGAAAUUCACAACGAAUAUAGAUAUAUCCAUAUAAACAGGGAAUAAACAAUUUGUCUAAAUUUAUAUAGCAAUCAAUCCUGACCGUUUUUUUAUGCGCCAAGUUAUACAGGGCACUAUGAAAGGAAUCAAAAUCAGAAUCGGAAUCAGAAUUCUGGUGCUCAGGGCUCUAUAGCAUCGACCAGACGGCAAAAUUGUGAGUUAGUGGGCUGGAUGUGAGGGGUCCAGAGUGAUUGUCUUUGCCCAGUGGCGUAGAAGACUGUAGCAGGGAGGAAAAGACACGAGGCAGAGCUGUAGGUAGCAGAGAUGAGGAUGUUGAGGUUCUCUUUAAGAGUGACAAUGAUGGACAGGAUUAGGAACGAGAACAUCAGAUGGACAUCUCAGGGGUGUAUACAGUGCAAGAUUCAUUGUUUGUGCUCUGCUUCAGCUGAACAGGUAAAUACGCUGCCUUUUUACUCAUUACAUUCAUCAUGUAGAGCAUUUAGCAGAUGUCUUUAACCAUGAUGAUGCACAGAACUGCUUUGUCGUCUCUAUCAAAAACUUGCUCACAUUCAGGAACUUUUCCCAGGGACUAUUCACUGCCAGGUCACCAGAGGAGGUGCUGGCAGCCUCAAGACUGAGAGAGACUGGGAAAGAAAGCGAGAGAAAAGGGAGAGAUGGAGAGAGAGCGAGAGAGAGAGACAGACAGACAGAGAAAGAGAGACAGAGACAGAAAGAGAGAGAGAGAGGGAGAGAGAGAGAAAGGGAUGGAGAGAAGGAAAGCGAGACAGAGAAAGGGUUAAGAGCCUUGCUCAGGGGCCCAGCAGUGGCAGCUUGGUGGACAUGGGAUACAAGCUUGCUACCUUCUGAUUGGUAGAUCCAUCAACAAGAUCAGGGACUCACCGGUAGUUCGUGUCCUUCUGGGAUUCUCUUAAUGUACUCACCGGCACCUUUGAGAGCGUCAUGGCGGGUAGCAUCACUUCCUGUUUCAUGAACAGCACCAUGCAGGACAGGGAGCACUCCAGAGGGUGGUGCGGUCAGCUGAAAGUACCAUCCACACCGAGCUCUCUGACCUGCAGGACAUCUACAGCACGCGGUGCAGGACCAGGAAGAUUGUAAAGGAUCUCAGCCAUCCUGACAAUGGACUCUUUUCUUUGGCACGUUCAGGGAAACGCUUCUGCUCCUUGAAAGCAAACACAGAGAAUGAGGAGAAGCUUCUUCCCGCAGGCCAUCCAGAGUUUAAACCAGGAAACACCCAGCAUCUUUUACAGGACCUCUUUCUUUUCUGCACACCUUUUUUGCACUAUGACACUAACUCUGGACUUGCGCAGCACAGUGCCACUUUAUACACACCAUACUGCACAUGGACACUUUAAAGACUGUCAUUAAAUCCAUACGUGUUUAUGUAUAUACAUAUUUUUCACAUAUAUUUUCAUAUAUUUUAUAUAGUUUAUACUUUUUAUCUAUCUACCUCCUUUUGGUUUUAUUUUAAUCCUUCAUUCCAUUCCUUUUUAUGCUUGAAUACCAGACAGACGUAAAAAGCAUUGCACUGCAUGUCGUACUCUGUAUGUAUGUGUGUGUGACAAAUAAAAUGUGUGACAAAUAAAUUGUGACAAAUAAAUUGAUUUGAUUAGGAUUUGAUUCAGCAAGUGUUUUACUCUAAUAGUAAAUAAAGAACAAAGAAUGAUGAAUCAUAAGGUGAGUUUUUUUUACCGUCACCUACAGAUGCGAGAUCCAUCGAGUCCACCAUAUUUUUCUAGUGACAUGACAUUCCCAAUCGUAAUUACAACUUUGAUGGAACACUUAUGAUGAAAAGAGCAUUAAAAUAGUCUAAUUACUGCGUAAAGAGAACAUUCUUGCAUACAAACGGUUUCAUUCUCAUGUUUGAAUGUAGGAAUUUUUCUCUGUUUUAUAGCUUCCUGUGCAGAGUGUGGACGACCGGAUGGGAGAAAAUGCUGUGAUCGUCUUUGGAGAUCAGGAAUUCCGGAUUCUGCUGCGAAAGAGACAGCAACAGAGACUGUGCGAGAGAGCGCACCUCUUGCAGGGGCCAAGGCCUUGGAAUUUGAACACACAACCUUCCUAUCCUUAGACCAAGAAGGAAGAUAAGGACGAAGGCAACAAAGAAGAUCUUAAAUGUGUUUUAGGGGCCCCAACUAAGUAUUGAGUGCUGUACAUGCUCAUACUUUUCAUAUUCAUACUUUUCAGUUGGCCCAGGUUUAUAAAAAUUCUUUCUUUGUAUUGGUCUUAAGUAAUAUUCUAAUUUUCUGAGAUACUGAAUUUGGGAUUUUCCUUAGUUGGCAGUUAUAAUCAUCAAAAUU